rnacentral:rRNA from 1 species
CGCGAAUGGCUCAUUACAACAGCUAAAAUUUACUCGAUCUUGACACAAUCCUACUUGGAUAACUGUGGUAAUUCUAAAGCUAAUACAUGCAUUAAAGCUCUGACCUUCGGGGAAGAGUGCAUUUAUUAGAACAAAACCAAGCGGCUUCGGCUGUUUUCGGUUGACUCAUAGUAACUGAGCUGAUCGCAUGGUCUUGCACCGGCGACGUGUCGUUCAAGUAUCUGCCGUAUCAACUUUCGAUGGUAGUGUAUCUGACUACCAUGGUGAUCACGCGUAACGGAGAAUAAGGGUUCGACUCCGGAGAGUUCGCCUGAGAAAUCGCGAACACAUCUAAGGAAGGCAGCAGGCGCGAAAAUUACCCACUCUCAGCACGAGGAGGUAGUGACGAAAAAUAACGAGACCGUUCUCUUAUGAGGCCGGUCAUCGGAAUGGGUACAAUUUAAACCCUUUAACGAGUAUCUAUGAGAGGGCAAGUCUGGUGCCAGCAGCCGCGGUAAUUCCAGCU